UUCAGGUUCUGAGGAAUUACACAGUGGAGAGUGCAGGGAAAACACUGGUUUUACAGGGUGGACGUGGCAAAGAUGGUCUCAGUGGAGGUCUGGCCCUCAAGAGUGUCAGCUGGGGGAGGGCAUGACAUCAGGGCUGUGUUCACAUCAUCCUGGCGACUUGCCAUGUGUUCAGUAGUGUUUUGGUGCAGGUACCACCAGCCACGUGUUGUUUCUACCUUUUCUUCUGCAUACUUAACACUUUGCUGACUUGUCAUUUCACCUGAGACUUGCAGCUCCUUACACCCUUGUGGCCUUCCUGGGCUUCCGGUUCCUCUGCACUCCUCCCUUUACGAUGUCCUCCAACAGUGACAUGCACGUGGUGUCAGGAGGUGUGCACAUUUCCUUACGUCAUCCUUGAACCUGCUCUUCAGGUCCAGCUGAGUUUUAUCGGGACAGGCCACAGCCAGCCUCCCACACAGUGUGCCCGUGUCGCUGGCAGAUAAGGUCCAACUGGAGGAGGAAUGAGGAGGCAGGGGCCCUUCCUCUAUGUGGUACACCCUAUGCUUGUGUCUUGUCUGUUGAGGUAUCUUCUGGUCUCUUCAGAGGCUUAAUACUGCUAAGCAGCCCCUACCUCAACCUGCCCCCAGCUGCCUUGUUCUCGGAGCAAUCACCUGGACGCAACUUGUUGUGUCAGACACACCUUUGAAAUGGGGCUUCCCCCCUUCCACCGAAGUCAAUGUGCAUUUCUUCAGCAUUUCUGCUUUCAUGUUGUAGGCAUGGGAUGAGGAGGCCCCUUCUGAGCAGGCUGUCUGUAGGAGAGUCCCAGAUCAGGGCUUCUCAGGCAGGUCUGUCCACACAGAUCAGUCCUGUGAGAUGUGUAUUCCAGUGUCGAAAGAUACUUCACACCAUUGCUGCGUGCCAAACAGUAUACCCUUGGCAGAAACCAUACUUGGGUGCCCCAUGUGUGAGAUGCUUCUCUUUCCAUACAGACCUUCACCAGCAACAGAGGCAUGGCAGUCAGGAGAAGCCCUGGAAAAGAGAUGUGGACAGGGCCUUAUGUGUGACAAGCUGCAACUUCUGUAUGUCAGGGCAGCCUUUCACAUGUAGGAAGGUUGGAGAGAGCUCCCCAGCCACCUUGAAACAUCUUCAGCUCCAGACCAGUUCCAACACUGAGGAGCCACACGGUGGCAACCAGAGUGGGGAGGCCUGUCGCAGCGGGAAAAGUCAGUACAAUGGGGGUCAGUGUGGAAAAGCUAACAGCCACAACCAUGCACUUGAUCAACAUUGGAGUGUCUGCUCCGGAGAAGGGCUUUAUGAGGGGGGCAAGUGUGGGAAAGCCUUCAGCUGCAACUACAGACUUGUGCAGCACCAGCGAAUUCACACUGAACGAAGGCCAUAUGAGUGUGGUGAAUGUGGGAAAUUCUUUAGCCAGAAAUCCAACCUUAUCGAACACCAUAGAGUUCACACUAGAGAAAGGCCUUAUGAGUGUACUGAAUGUGGGAAAUCCUUUAGACAAAGCUCUAGCCUUUUCUGACACCAGAGAGUUCACACUGGAGAAAGGCCAUAUAAUUGCAGCGAACGUGGGAAAUCCUUUGGACAGAUCUUUGACCUCAUUCGACAUGGGAGAGUUCACAGUGGAGAAAUGCCUUAUAAGUGCAGUGAAUGUGGGAAGUCCUUUGGACAGUUCUCUAACCUCAUUCAACACCGGAGUGUUCAUACUGGAAAAAGGCCUUUUGGGUGCAGUGUUUGUGGGAAAUCCUUUAGCCGCAAAUUUAUCCUUAUUCAACAUCAGAGAGUUCACACUGGAGAAAGACCUUAUGAGUGCAAUGAAUGUAGAAAAUCCUUUACCCGAAAAUCUGACCUCAUUCAACACCAGUGGAUUCAUACUGGCACAAGACCUUAUGAGUGCAGUGAAUGUGAGAAAUCUUUUAGGCAAUGGUCUGUCCUCAUUCAACACCAGAGAGUUCAUUCUGGAGAAAAGCCAUAUGAGUGUGGGGAAUGUGGGAAAUCCUUUAGCCAAAAUGCUAGCCUUAUUCAACACCAGAGGGUUCACACUGGAGAAAGACCUUAUGAAUGCAGCGAAGGUGGGAAAUCUUUUAGCCACAAAUCUAACCUCCUCAGACACAGGAGAGUUCACACUGGAGAAAACCCUUGAAUGUGAGGUACAUUAGAAUUCUUUGUAUUAUUGCCAAGUAGCAUUCUCUUCUAUGGAUAAUGGCUUUAUCCGUGCAUCUGUUCUGGACAUACAGGUUAUUUCCAGGUUUGGGGUGUUUACAAAUAAAGCUCCUGUGAAUAUUUACAUUCAUUUCUUUAUGUGGCUAUGUUUUAUUUCUCUUGUUGUAAUAACUGAAACUGCCAGAGUGGAGGUGAGUGUUUCACAUUCUAAGAAGUGGGAAACUGAUCUAUAAUGGUUAUGCUCUUUGGCCUUCCCACCAGUAGCACAUGUCAAUUCAAGUUCCGUGACAUCCUUGAAACAAGUAUGUAGUGGUAAAUCACUUUGGUUUUAAUUCCAUAUCCCAAAGUGUUCGUGAUAUUGAGCAUUUGUCAUUUAUUUGUUCUAUGUUUAUCUUUGAUAAAAUGUGUGCUUACAAUCUUUUGCCUGUUUUCUUUUUAUGUACUUCUGUAUUUCUUACAUGGAACAAUUGUUUUUGAGUACUAGAAAAUUUUUCUCCCUCAACUUUUUGUCCUUCUCACAACUGAAAGCCCACAUGCUCCAGACUUAUGAAUAUGUUAAUGUGCAUCAGCAUAUUCUCCUCUGCUUUCUUAACUUAGUAACACAUUAAAUCAGGCCUAGGUUUUAAUCUUUGGCAACCCCUGGUUGCCAUGGUAACCCUCAUGGUAAAUGUCAGAUUGCCGAGGUGAUGUCACUGAACACGGAGUUGGUAAAAUAUUCCAGUAGCAACUCAUUGUGUUUCUGUUCCCAAAGUACUGAGAGCGUGACCAUAGAUAACUUUAAGAACAUAGGUAGUAAAACUGUAAAAUGACCAGUAAGUGGCAAGUUUUGAAUAUUUGUGGGUGUUUUUGUUUUUUUAUUUUUGUUUUUUAAAGAUU